GGUUGUAGUUCAGUGGUAGAGUGCUUGCCUAGCAUGAAGAGGCCCUGGGUUCCAUCCUCAGCACCA
rnacentral:tRNA from 1 species